AUUGAACGCUGGCGGAAUGCUUUACACAUGCAAGUCGAACGGUAGAGGGGGCAACCCCUCGAGAGUGGCGAACGGGUGAGUAAUAUAUCGGAACGUGCCCAGUCGUGGGGGAUAACGUAGCGAAAAUUACGCUAAUACCGCAUACGAUCUAUGGAUGAAAGCGGGGGAUCGCAAGACCCCGCGCGAUUGGAGCGGCCGAUAUCAGAUUAGGUAGUUGGUGGGGUAAAGGCCCACCAAGCCAACGAUCUGUAGCUGGUCUGAGAGGACGACCAGCCACACUGGAACUGAGACACGGUCCAGACUCCUGCGGGAGGCAGCAGUGGGGAAUUUUGGACAAUGGGCGAAAGCCUGAUCCAGCCAUUCCGCGUGCAGGAUGAAGGCCCUCGGGUUGUAAACUGCUUUUGUACAGAACGAAAAGGUUUCUACUAAUACUAGGAGCUCAUGACGGUACUGUAAGAAUAAGCACCGGCUAACUACGUGCCAGCAGCCGCAGUAA
rnacentral:rRNA from 1 species